rnacentral:ncRNA from 3 species
UGAUUAUUGUAGGGGGACCGGUGUGGCCGGUUGAGAGUGCAUCCAUCAGAUGCUGACCCUUUGAACCUGAACUGGCUCAUACCAGCGUAGGAAACAGAUCGUAGACAGAA